CCUACGGGCGGCAGCAGUGGGGAAUAUUGGGCAAUGGGCGCAAGCCUGACCCAGCAACGCCGCGUGAAGGAAGAAGGCUUUCGGGUCGUAAACUUCUUUUGACAGGGAAGAGUAGAAGACGGUACCUGUCGAAUAAUCCACGGCUAACUCCGUGCCAGCAGCCGCGGUAAUACGGAGGAUCCGAGCGUUAUCCGGAUUUACUGGGUGUAAAGGGAGCGUAGGCGGCGAUGCAAGUCAGAAGUGAAAGCCCGGGGCUCAACUCCGGGACUGCUUUUGAAACUGUAUGGCUAGAUUGCAGGAGAGGCAAGUGGAAUUCCUAGUGUAGCGGUGAAAUGCGUAGAUAUUAGGAGGAACACCAGUGGCGAAGGUGGCUUGCUGGACUGUAAAUGACGCUGAGGCUCGAAAGCGUGGGGAGCAAACAGGAUUAGAUACCCCAGUAGUC
rnacentral:rRNA from 1 species